UAAAAGAAAUCAUAAUUCAGCUGUAGAUUAGCUUUUCAAUGCAAAUCAGUCACAAAACAGCAUAUGUUAGUGCAAAUCAGCUCUAAUAAAGUUGCUCUGCAAGAUGCUGAAAUCAUGCUGUUUACCAGCAAUCACUGGCAGCACUGUCAUGUUUUUUCUUGAAAUUGGCAACCCGGCUAUGAUUGUGACAGAAAGUGAAAGAGAGAGAAUGAUUAAAAACAAAUUCUCGCUCACUCACCUUUCUUCAAAGUAAGGAAAUAAAUAUUUAAACCGCAGUUCAAACCAAUAAUUUGUUGCUGGUGAAUCGUGUUGAGAUCGUUCAGAUUGAAAUUUGAAUAAUUGCCACAUUCAAAAUGCGACUGACGAAACUUGAGCAGCCGCUUCGAAUACUUUCAGCAGCAGCCGAGGGAAAAUUGUUUGUGUUCGGCGCCCUUCAAGGAGGCGAAAAUGAGUGAUGAUAACAGUGAUUAUUAUGAAAUGGAUUUGUGGAUUUUUAAAUAAAUAUA